CGGUGGGAGCAUGUGGUUCAAUUNCGAUGCAACGCGAAAAACCUUACCUGGGUUUGACUCCUUUGACAGUCCCUGAAAGGGGAUCUUCCCGAUUUAUCGGGACAAAGUGACAGGUGCUGCAUGGCUGUCGUCAGCUCGUGUCGUGAGAUGUUGGGUUAAGUCCCGCAACGAGCGCAACCCUUGUCUUUAGUUGCCAAUAUUAAGUUAGGCACUCUAAUGAUACUGCCCCGGUUAACGGGGAGGAAGGUGGGGAUGACGUCAAGUCCUCAUGGCCUUUAUACCCAGGGCUACACACGUGCUACAAUGGGCUAUACAAAGGGCUGCCACUCUGCAAAGAGGAGCUAAUCCCAAAAAGUAGUCCUAAGUUCGGAUUGGAGUCUGCAACUCGACUCCAUGAAGCUGGAANCGCUUGUAACCGUGGAUCAGCAUGCCACGGUGAAUACAUUCCCGGUCA
rnacentral:rRNA from 1 species